CCAGGGGUACUCAAGUGGACAACGAGAACAGACUGUAAAUCUGUUGGGGCAACCCUUCGCAGGUUCGAAUCCUGCCCCCUGGA
rnacentral:tRNA from 1 species